AUACGGAGGGGGUUAGCGUUGUUCGGAAUUACUGGGCGUAAAGCGUACGUAGGCGGAUUAGUAAGUUAGGGGUGAAAUCCCGAGGCUCAACCUCGGAACUGCCUCUAAAACUGCUAGUCUUGAGUUCGAGAGAGGUGAGUGGAAUUCCUAGUGUAGAGGUGAAAUUCGUAGAUAUUAGGAGGAACACCAGUGGCGAAGGCGGCUCACUGGCUCGAUACUGACGCUGAGGUACGAAAGUGUGGGGAGCAAACAGGAUUAGAAACCCUAGUAGUCC
rnacentral:rRNA from 1 species